rnacentral:pre_miRNA from 1 species
ACAGCUGAGCCAUCUCUCCAGCCCCUUAUUUUACUUUUUAAAAAGUAUUUGGCCUGGGCCUGGAGAGAUGGCUCAGCUGU